UACGUAGGGCGCAAGCGUUGUCCGGAAUUAUUGGGCGUAAAGAGCUCGUAGGUGGCUUGUCACGUCGGGUGUGAAAGCUUGGGGCUUAACUCCAGGUCUGCAUUCGAUACGGGCUGGCUAGAGGUAGGUAGGGGAGAACGGAAUUCCUGGUGUAGCGGUGAAAUGCGCAGAUAUCAGGAGGAACACCGGUGGCGAAGGCGGGUCUCUGGGCAACAACUGACGCUGAGGAGCGAAAGCGUGGGGAGCGAACGGG
rnacentral:rRNA from 1 species